UACGGGGGGGGCAAGCGUUGUUCGGAAUUACUGGGCGUAAAGGGCUUGUAGGUGGCCAACUAAGUCAGACGUGAAAUCCCUCAGCUUAACUGGGGAACUGCGUCUGAUACUGGAUGGCUUGAGUUUGGGAGAGGGACGCGGAAUUCCAGGUGUAGCGGUGAAAUGCGCAGAUAUCAGGAAGAACACCUAUGGCGAAGGCAGCUCUCUGGGACGGUACUGACGCUGAGACGCGAAAGCGUGGGGAGCGAACAGG
rnacentral:rRNA from 1 species